UAAUACAGAGGUCUCAAGCGUUGUUCGGAAUCACUGGGCGUAAAGGGUGCGUAGGCGGCACGGUAAGUCAGAGGUGAAAUCCCGGAGCUCAACUUCGGAAUUGCCUCCGAUACUGCCGUGCUUGAGGACUGGAGAGGAGAUUGGAAUUCACAGUGGAGCAGUGAAAUGCGUAGAUAUUGUGAGGAACACUAGUGGCGAAGGCGAAUCUCUGGACAGUUCCUGACGCUGAGGCACGAAGGCCAGGGGAGCAAACGGGAUUAGAUACCCCGGUAGUCCUGGCAGUAAACGGUGCACGCUUGGUGUGGCGGGAUUCGACCCCCGCCGUGCCGGAGCUAACGCGUUAAGCGUGCCGCCUGGGAAGUACGGUCGCAAGAUUA
rnacentral:rRNA from 1 species